rnacentral:rRNA from 1 species
AACGAACGCUGGCGGCAUGCCUAACACAUGCAAGUCGAACGAAGGCUUCGGCCUUAGUGGCGCACGGGUGCGUAACGCGUGGGAAUCUGCCCCUCGGUUCGGAAUAUCAGUUAGAAAUGACUGCUAAUACCGGAUGAUGACUUCGGUCCAAAGAUUUAUCGCCGAGGGAUGAGCCCGCGUAAGAUUAGGUAGUUGGUGGGGUAAAGGCCUACCAAGCCGACGAUCUUUAGCUGGUCUGAGAGGGUGAUCAGCCACACUGGGACUGAGACACGGCCCAGACUCCUACGGGAGGCAGCAGUGGGGAAUAUUGGACAAUGGGCGAAAGCCUGAUCCAGCAAUGCCGCGUGAGUGAUGGAGGCCUUAGGGUUGUAAAGCUCUUUUACCAGGGAUGAUAAUGACAGUACCUGGGGAAUAAGCUCCGGCUAACUCCGUGCCAGCAGCCGCCGCGG